UGCAAGUCGACGAUGAAGCCGCUUCGGUGGUGGAUUAGUGGCGAACGGGUGAGUAACACGUGGGCAAUCUGCCCUGCACUCUGGGACAAGCCCUGGAAACGGGGUCUAAUACCGGAUAUGAUCACCGGCCGCAUGGUCUGGUGGUGGAAAGCUCCGGCGGUGCAGGAUGAGCCCGCGGCCUAUCAGCUUGUUGGUGGGGUGAUGGCCUACCAAGGCGACGACGGGUAGCCGGCCUGAGAGGGCGACCGGCCACACUGGGACUGAGACACGGCCCAGACUCCUACGGGAGGCAGCAGUGGGGAAUAUUGCACAAUGGGCGCAAGCCUGAUGCAGCGACGCCGCGUGAGGGAUGACGGCCUUCGGGUUGUAAACCUCUUUCAGCAGGGAAGAAGCGCAAGUGACGGUACCUGCAGAAGAAGCACCGGCUAACUACGUGCCAGCAGCCGCGGUAAUACGUAGGGUGCGAGCGUUGUCCGGAAUUAUUGGGCGUAAAGAGCUCGUAGGCGGCCUGUCACGUCGGAUGUGAAAGCCCGGGGCUUAACCCCGGGUCUGCAUUCGAUACGGGCAGGCUAGAGUUCGGUAGGGGAGAUCGGAAUUCCUGGUGUAGCGGUGAAAUGCGCAGAUAUCAGGAGGAACACCGGUGGCGAAGGCGGAUCUCUGGGCCGAUACUGACGCUGAGGAGCGAAAGCGUGGGGAGCGAACAGGAUUAGAUACCCUGGUAGUCCACGCCGUAAACGUUGGGAACUAGGUGUGGGCGACAUUCCACGUCGUCCGUGCCGC
rnacentral:rRNA from 1 species